rnacentral:rRNA from 1 species
GACGAACGCUGGCGGCGUGCCUAAUACAUGCAAGUAGAACGCACAGUUUAUACCGUAGCUUGCUACACCAUAGACUGUGAGUUGCGAACGGGUGAGUAACGCGUAGGUAACCUGCCUGGUAGCGGGGGAUAACUAUUGGAAACGAUAGCUAAUACCGCAUAAUAUUAAUUAUUGCAUGAUAAUUGAUUGAAAGAUGCAACUGCAUCACUACCAGAUGGACCUGCGUUGUAUUAGCUAGUAGGUGAGGUAACGGCUCACCUAGGCGACGAUACAUAGCCGACCUGAGAGGGUGAUCGGCCACACUGGGACUGAGACACGGCCCAGACGCCUACGGGAGGCAGCAGUAGGGAAUCUUCGGCAAUGGACGAAAGUCUGACCGAGCAACGCCGCGGGAGUGAAGAAGGUUUUCGGAUCGUAAAGCUCUGUUGUAAGAGAAGAACGGGUGUGAGAGUGGAAAGUUCACACUGUGACGGUAUCUUACCAGAAAGGGACGGCUAACUACGUG